GUAAUGUGUGAUGGGAGAGAAAGUUAGUACUCUUUGAGAAGGACAGAAGAGGUACUGGUGACCUUUAGAUCAUAUACAGAUAGAACUGUGCCACUUAUUCAGCAGCAUUUAACCGUGUUUUCCU